AACGAACGCUGGCGGCGGGCCUCAUACAUGCAAGUCGAGCGCGAAAGUCCGCAAGGAUGAGUAAAGCGGCGCACGGGUGCCUAACACGUGGGUAAUCUACCUUCGAGACGAGAAUAACCUGUCGAAAGACGGGCUAAUACUCGAUACGUUUGCGGGUUCAUAAUGUUCCUGCAAAGAAAGUUGCAGCAAUGUAACACUCUUAGAUGAGCCUGCGUCCCAUUAGCUAGUUGGCGGGGUAACGGCCCACCAAGGCUACGAUGGGUAGCUGGUCUGAGAGGAUGAUCAGCCACACUGGAACUGAAACACGGUCCAGACUCCUACGGGAGGCAGCAGUAGGGAAUAUUGCGCAAUGGGGGAAACCCUGACGCAGCCACGCCGCGUGAGUGAGGAAGGCCUUCGGGUUGUAAAGCUCUGUCACCUGGGAAAAACAAGCAGAUGUAACAGUCUGCCCUGAUUGUACCAGGGGAGGAAGCACCGGCUAACUCUGUGCCAGCAGCCGCGGUAA
rnacentral:rRNA from 1 species